UAUCAUUAUGGAAUGGGACGUCCCUAUUUUCAUUGGAGAAAUGUUGGAGGGUAUGCUAGCUCACAGCACAAUCCUAGCCAGGCCUACUCAGAAGUUAAUCCUUUUGAAUACAAUAAGGCUUGCUGCUAGGUAAAUGGGGUCAGGACUGCAGCCUUUAGCUGUUCACUCCACAACUUGUUUUUAUUUAGUUUUGCAUUUAUAUCCCACUAUUCCUCCAAGGUGUACAAAGCUCUCCCCUUUUUAGUCCCACAACAACCCUGUGAGGUUGUUUAGGCCUUGUGGAAAAGUAAGUCUUCAGCUAAAUAACCUAAGGUUAUUUAUAGGUUAUUUAAGGUUAUUCAUAGGAAGCUGCCUUGGACAGAGUCAGUGUGUUGACCUAUCUACCUCCGCAGCAGCAGCAGCUCUCUAGGAUUCAGAUGGGGGGGGGCAGCCCCACCUGGAGAUGCCGCCAGGACUGAACAUCAGCAUGUAAAGCAGAUGGUCUAAUCCUGUGCUAUGGACAACCCUAGACUUGGGAGUCUUCUUCUGCACUUAAAGGUUGUGGGGAUGGUCUCUCUUUAGAAAUGUUGGAAGAAGAAUGAUCUGAAAUACAGACGUGAACCUGAAGAGAGAAGAUGCAGCAAAGCUGCGGACAGAGCAGCAGGUGCACCAAAGUUCUGAAGAAGCAUCACCACUCAGGAGGGGCAAGCAUCGUGGUAGGCUUGUCUGAACCAGAAUGUUUUAAGCCGGUGCCAGCAAGAGUCCAGUGAAGGAGCCGGACUGACCUCAACAGGCAGGGAGUUCCAAAGUGCAGUAAUUGAGAAGGAGCAACAGAGUGGUCCCGCUCCAAGGCUAGGAGCAGCUUGUGGCACCAGUUGUGCCACAGAUCUUCCAAGUCUCCCCAGCACCUGAGGCGAGUACUGGAGAAAACAAGAGUAGGAACUGGAUCCCUCAGACCUGCCCCCUGCUGCUCGAGGUCUUUGCCCCCAGUUCUGCAGUUUCUAAUGGGGAGAAGCCCUCUCACUUUGAACAGACAGCCUGACUUUGGCCAU